GGCUCAGGAUGAACGCUGGCGGCGUGCUUAACACAUGCAAGUCGAACGAAGAUGCCGGAGUGCUUGCACUUUGGCAGACUGAGUGGCGAACGGGUGAGUAACGCGUGAGGAACCUGCCUUUCAGAGGGGGACAACAGUUGGAAACGACUGCUAAUACCGCAUGACACAUCGGAGUCGCAUGGCUCUGAUGUCAAAGAUUUAUCGCUGAAAGAUGGCCUCGCGUCUGAUUAGCUAGUUGGUGAGGUAACGGCCCACCAAGGCGACGAUCAGUAGCCGGACUGAGAGGUUGAACGGCCACAUUGGGACUGAGAUACGGCCCAGACUCCUACGGGAGGCAGCAGUGGGGAAUAUUGGGCAAUGGGCGCAAGCCUGACCCAGCAACGCCGCGUGAAGGAAGAAGGCUUUCGGGUUGUAAACUUCUUUUGUCAGGGACGAGUAGAAGACGGUACCUGACGAAUAAGCCACGGCUAACUACGUG
rnacentral:rRNA from 1 species